UACGUAGGGGGCAAGCGUUGUCCGGAUUUAUUGGGCGUACAGAGCGUGUAGGCGGCCAAGCAGGUCAGCUGUGAAAACUCGAGGCUCAACCUCGAGACGUCGGUUGAAACCGCUUGGCUAGAGUCCGGAAGAGGAGAGUGGAAUUCCUGGUGUAGCGGUGAAAUGCGCAGAUAUCGGGAGGAACACCGGUGGCGAAGGCGGCGAUCUGGGUAGAUACUGACGCUGAGGUGCGAAAGCGUGGGGAGCAAACAGG
rnacentral:rRNA from 1 species